GGUUUUGUGGUCUAGUUGGUUAUGGCAUCUGCUUAACACGCAGAACGUCCNAAUUUGAAUUUUUUUUGGUUCA
rnacentral:tRNA from 1 species